CGGGGGGAGCAAGCGUUGUUCGGAUUUACUGGGCGUAAAGGGCGCGUAGGCGGCGCGACAAGUCACUUGUGAAAUCUCUGGGCUCAACCCAGAACGGUCAAGUGAUACUGUCGUGCUAGAGUGCGGAAGGGGCAACUGGAAUUCUUGGUGUAGCGGUGAAAUGCGUAGAUAUCAAGAGGAACACCUGCGGCGAAGGCGGGUUGCUGGGCCGACACUGACGCUGAGGCGCGAAAGCUAGGGGAGCGAACGGGAUUAGAUACCCCGGUAGUCCUAGCCUUAAACGAUGAAUGCUUGGUGUCCGGAGUUAGAUAGUCUCCGGGUGCCGUCGCUAACGCUUUAAGCAUUCCGCCUGGGGAGUACGGUCGCAAGACUG
rnacentral:rRNA from 1 species